GGAAUACAUCUCAGAGGAUUUAACUAUUGCAAGAAAGACUGACAAUAAAGCUUCUACCAUGUCGACAGAACAAUAUCAUCGUUUCUGGCCGAGGGCAACUAAAACCUGUUUGGUUGCGACAGUGAAAGACAAUAAAGUAGAAAGUGUCAGGUUUAAAGAAAGUGUACGUAACGAUGGUUCAGAAGAAUGGAGAAAGUUACAGCUUUUCAUGUUGAUGAAUUCGUCUCUUUCACUUGUUGUCUGGCAGCGUACUUCAUCAUAAAAUUUACAAUUUUUGACUUGUGUGUAAUAAUUGAACUGGUGUUCUGCGUAACCCAUUGUUUUAUCAGUUCAAUUCAAUAUGCCAGUCCAACAUCAUUUACGUUUAACCUAUCUGUAAAAAAAGUGUCUAUUGUGGUUAAACUUAAUUCGCACUCGAAGUGACUGGACUGUACCAUAUUACGGGAACUUAUACCGGUCUCCGUACACGGAAGUGCAGACAAAGGGUAAUGUUACUUCCCCCGAAGGGAAUACUAAUCCGUGGUAGGUUAGCCCCCAGCAUGCUGAAACAUUUCUUUAACACAUCGCCAUUAGGCCGCCGCCUCUCCUUCUCGUCUACUUGAUACGGUUUGGUAGUAUUGAUCCGUCAAACUAAUAAAACUGGAAACUGAAGGAGGCUGUUGCCAGCCACCUUAAAUGUAAAAAUUGUAUAAUUAUUAAUCCUUUUAUUUCAUGUUUUUGUCUUUUCUUUGACACAAUUAAGUUAACGUGGAAGCUAAGGAAGUAUCAUGUGGUUCUUCGGCAAUUUGUUGGCGGUUUGUGUUUAAACUACGCAACAAGGAGUACGCCCUGAAUGUAGACAACAACAACACUGUAACUGCAGUGGAGGUUCCUGAUGAAGAUGGAUCAAAAAAGGGAACACAUUUUGUGCCAACAAACUCAGUUAAAUUUCAAGAAUUCGUAUGGGAAAUGAAGUCCGAUGACACGAGCCAACUGUCUGGGAAGUACAUCGCUGUUGAUGAAGAAGGACGUUUAUCGGUGAUACCACCUCGCCAUUUUGUACAAAAAUCAGUAUGUUCGGAGGAGAAAGAAACACAAUGAAAAAAACAAAAAAACAAAACAAACAAGACUGUUAAAAUGUUAACAAAUACGCUUUAUGUAAACGGAACAGCUGAAUACAUUUCUAGAUAUUCCGUUUUCUUAUUGAGAUGAAAGAAAAAAAUGCAUAUCGUAACAGCUUCAAGGUUGAAAAUAUAAGGCUGUAAUUAAUAUAAUCAUUUGAAUUAAAGAGAAAUUGAGA